CCUACGGGGGGCAGCAGUGAGGAAUAUUGGUCAAUGGGCGCGAGCCUGAACCAGCCAAGUAGCGUGAAGGAUGACUGCCCUACGGGUUGUAAACUUCUUUUAUAAAGCAAUAAAGUGAGGCACGUGUGCCUUUUUGUAUGUACUUUAUGAAUAAGGAUCGGCUAACUCCGUGCCAGCAGCCGCGGUAAUACGGAGGAUCCGAGCGUUAUCCGGAUUUAUUGGGUUUAAGGGGAGCGUAGAUGGGUUGUUAAGUCAGUUGUGAACGUUUGCGGCUCAACCGUAAAAUUGCAAUUGAUACUGGCAGCCUUGAGUACAGUUGAGGUAGGCGGAAUUCGUGGUGUAGCGGUGAAAUGCUGAGAUAUCACGAAGAACUCCGAUUGCGAAGGCAGCUUACUAAACGGCCACUGACAUUGAUGCUCGAAAGUGUGGGUAUCAAACAGGAUUAGAGACCCGAGCAGUC
rnacentral:rRNA from 1 species